rnacentral:lncRNA from 1 species
CAAAGUUUUCCUGGCCUGAUUGCCAAAUUAUUGCAACCCUCCUGUCUCAGACUUCCAAGUAAUGGGAUUACAGCUGUCCCCAGAGGCAGGAUGGAAAGCAUCCGAAGACAGAAGAACGCAGCCCCGAUCCGCGAAACAAUGAGCUCACACAACAUGGCCCGUCACCUGAUAUGAUCCCUGACCUAAAUCCUAUAAGAACAUGCUGGCAACUGUGGAGAGCAUCUUCAGUACCAGCUUGCUCUGCAAGAUCCAGGUCCCUUGUCUGCUGGUUAUGUGUUAUUAGAUGCCAUUUUCUGUGUGUGCAGAUGGCCUGUGCUUGUAUUUUUCACUUAAAGAUGUGCUCAAUGGUUCCCUAUCCCACAAUCCUGUUGUGGAGCCCUCCCUGUCAGGGUACUGUGUUACUCUUGGUAUUCAAUAUCCAGGAUGUCUGGAUUUUAUCUGACCAUUCUCUGUGCAUCCUAGCACUUGCCAAUAGUCCUUUAAUUCAACAUGCAACUAUGCAGCUGCUGUUUCAAUGGAAAAGGGUUCAACUAGAGUGCAGUAGGAAACUGGGCUCCUAUUACAUGCCAUCUUGAGACUCUUCUGAGUCAUAGCUUCUGUGUAAGAUUUGAGGAAAAGGGGUUAUUUUAUUUUAUUUUAUUUUAUUUUAUUUUAUUUUUGGCACUUGAUUACCUCCUUGGUAGUGACUGACUUGUUGCUGCUGUCUUAAAUGACCUUGGUUACUUGUUAUUUACUUUGUAAACAGCACAAUGGAAAACAGUACUUAUCUUGCCUUCUCAGCAAUCAUUAGAUCUUUGUAGAAAUUUAACUCAGACGAGGUCCAAAUGUGCUUAUAGAAAUAGUUAACUCUGUUUAUUAUCCACCUGUAGUGGGGCAGUAAUGUUCAAUGACUCUUCUUUUGUUUGUGCUGAAAAGUUCCACACAGAAAUAUCUCUAGUCUUGAAGGCAAUGCUACAUUGAGUCUGUGUUAUCUUUUGUGCUGUGAUUUGAAGGGUGAUGUUCUGGGGGGAAAAAAAAACUCAUAUGAAAUAAAGUAUUCCUUUGUAUGAUCACUGUGGGUGUUAAAAUUUUCAUUAAAGAUCAUUUUCCUUAGCAUAAAUGUAUGACUCCCAGAAAACUAGUUGUCUUGGUGAUUUUUCUAUUGUUGUGAUAACUUACUGUGACCAAGGCUACUUCUUAACUAAUGUGCUUAAUAAGACUUACAAUUCCAAAGGUUCGAAAUACAUGAUAGCAGAGCAAAGGCAUGCUAACAGGAACAGCUGAAAAGUCACAUCUUAAAUAGUAAAGAAGGCAGAGAGCACACUAGGAGUGACACAAGUCUUUUGACUACUAAAAGGUUAUCCUUAGUGGCACACCCCUAGAACAAGACCACAUCUCCAACACCUUCUCAAACACUUCCACCAACUGCUACUAAGCUUUCAAGUGCAUGAGCCUGUAGGGGCCAUGUCAUUCGAA